CCUACGGGAGGCUAUGAAGGGAAUGUCUCCGAUACGAGUUGAUUAUAUUGUUACGGGAUCGGUUCUUAUAAACUUUAUAAUUUCAAGAACCGGAAUAAAGGAACUGUAUCAGUCUUCAUACUCCCUUAAAGAGGGGAGCAUGGCAGAAAUUGCAGCUUCAUUGCAUGAAUAAAAAAGGAUAAAAAUAUGAAGUUAUUGAUUAUUGACGACGAGAAGAGCAUUAGAAACACUCUAAAGGAAAUUCUUGAAUUUGAAGGACAUGAAGUUGGUCUUGCAUCAGACGGUGAGGAGGGAUUGGCACUGGCUUCUGCAAAUAGCUUCGAUGUAAUUUUCUCGGACAUCAAAAUGCCGAAUAUGGAUGGUAUGGAACUGCUCGACAAACUCUCAGAGGCAAAUAUAGAUACCCGAGUAGUC
rnacentral:rRNA from 1 species